UACGUAGGGGGCUAGCGUUGUCCGGAUUUCUUGGGCGUAAAGUGCGUGUAGGCGGCCAGGUAGGUCUGCUGUGAAAUUUCGGGGCUCAACCCCGAACUUGCAGUGGGUACGGGCAGACUAGAGUGUGGUAGGGGAGACUGGAAUUCCUGGUGUAGCGGUGAAAUGCGCAGAUAUCAGGAGGAACACCGAUGGCGAAGGCAGGUCUCUGGGCCACUACUGACGCUGAGAAGCGAAAGCAUGGGGAGCGAACAGG
rnacentral:rRNA from 1 species